rnacentral:misc_RNA from 1 species
CUCGAUCACACCAGUGAGUUGUACUCUGCCGAAGCCUAUAUUCCAAGUCAGAGUCUUUAUGAUCUUCGUUUCUGGUUAACGCGGACGACGCUCUGAUUGCUCGUGUGUCUCCCGGGCGGUGCGUCCGGGUACGGCAGACACACCGCACCCCCGGUUCAUACACUGAACCGAGAACGGGGCUGCUUCCCUGUGAAACGUCCUACUCCACCGUUUUCGAUACGGAAACUCCGUAUGGAACUAGAAUGAGAAUGUGCAGACGUCACGAAAAAAAAUAGCGUCGAAAGGAUUGCCCCUGAGGGUGCAUCUCGGCAGCGAGGGUUCUGGUUGCAGCGCGUUUACGCGGAGCACGUCACGCAUGUGUUGCUGAAUACGCGCUACGACCUGCUGCACAGCAGGUCGCUAUACCAAGACUUUUCACUGGCGAAUAUGCUAUAACCGCACGGGAAGCAGCAGCAGCAGCAGCAGCAGCAGCAGCAGCAGCAGCAGCAGCGGGCAAUGCACAUCACCGUUUCCGAUGCUGUCAGACAAGCAUCGGCUGCUCAGGAGCCUGUGUACGCACAGACGUGGAACUCUAGAUGCAAAGCAACAAUGCAACACCUGAGACGAACCGACAAGUCGCUUUGACACGAAAGGUCCAAGGAGAGCACCCAGACGCAAAGUUUCAGCUGCAUCUGUGCUUCGCCGCGUGAGGCGAAUGGGCGCCUCCCGCUCAGCAACCGAUUCAAUGAUACUGAUUGUACUCGUUUCGCGGAAGCAGUCCAGAAAUGCAACAAGUAAGAAGUUGCAUGCAUUAUGGCUGUACACGCGGCGUGCAAAGUGCACGAUUCCUUUACAGGGGAAUAUUUCCAUGUUUUUUCGGGGGCCAUGGCUCCCGUAACGCCGCUGUCUCUUUGCUCGCUAGGAGGCUUAGCCCGUGUAUGAGCCAUCGACGCGUCAGUCUUGGUCGCACGACAGCAUCGACGUAGCCACGCUGGAGUGCAACCGAAACCGAGGAUUCCUCGCUCGCUUCAGUGUCACCCGAAGUUUCGAGCGCAUCCGUCGACGCAACUCGCCUGCGAAGGAUCUGACUCGCUGCAGCCCUACCCAUGACAGCGAUAUGGGCACAGGGCCAAGUUGCGUUCAGGUCGCCACGCAGGUGCUUGCUUGCCAUGACACAGUACGCGCCACCGUAUGCCUUACGCAAAAUAAUGGUCAGUUUCGGCACGGUUGCCUCCGUGUACGCAUACAGCAACUUGGAGCCGUGUCGGAUGAUGCCGCCAUGCUCUUGCUGCGUUCCGGGAAGGAAGCCUGGUACGUCAACCAGCGUCACGAUCGGUAUGCCGAAUGCAUCUGCAAAGCGCACAAACCGUGCUGCUUUGACGGCAGCGUCGGAAUCGAUUGCACCUGCUAUGCACAGCGGUUGGUUGGCAAUCAAUGCCACACUGCGACCGUUCAGUCGAGCAAAUGCAGUUAGCAUGUUUGGAGCGAAAUCGGUUUGAAUUUCUAGAAAUUCUUCAUCAUCGACGAGGCGCAUCAGAACAUCCCGCAUGUCGUAUGGCGUAUGCGCAUCCGAGGGUACCAGUCGAUCGAGCACGGGUUCUUCGCGGUCGCUGGGAUCCUCGGUGACAACAACUUGGGGAGCGGGAACACGCGCAUUCUGCGGCAGGUACGACAGCAGCUCACGGGCGAGUUGUAUCACGGCAAUAUCGUCGUCGGCGUCUAAAUGGGCAACGCCCGAGAUACGACAGUGAACUGCGGCACCGCCAAGCGCCUCAUCAGUUGUUUGUUCGCCUAGGGCAGCGUUCGUUACGCUGGGCCCCGUCACGAACAUUCGUGCAUGUCGUCUGCUCAUGAGCACAAAGUCCGUGAGUGCUGGUGAGUACACUGCACCACCUGCACACGGCCCGAGAAUCAGGGAAAGCUGCGGGAUGUAUCCCGAAGCCAACACAUUGCGUUUGAAGACCUCUGCGUAGCCUGCGAGCGAGCGCACCCCUUCCUGGAUGCGCGCUCCUCCGGAAUCACAGAGAGCAACAACUGGCGCGCCGACCUCGAUGGCCUUGUCGAUGACCUUGCAGAUCUUUGCGGCGUUGGCUUCGGAAAGAGAGCCACCAGCAACGGUGAAGUCCUGGCUGUAAACGAACACAG